GAUGAACGCUGGCGGCGUGCCUAAUACAUGCAAGUCGAGCGAACAGACGAGGAGCUUGCUCCUCUGACGUUAGCGGCGGACGGGUGAGUAACACGUGGAUAACCUACCUAUAAGACUGGGAUAACUUCGGGAAACCGGAGCUAAUACCGGAUAACAUGUUGAACCGCAUGGUUCAACAGUGAAAGACGGUCUUGCUGUCACUUAUAGAUGGAUCCGCGCCGCAUUAGCUAGUUGGUAAGGUAACGGCUUACCAAGGCAACGAUGCGUAGCCGACCUGAGAGGGGGAACGGCCACACUGGAACUGAGGCACGGUCCAGACUCCUACGGGAGGCAGCAGUAGGGAAUCUUCCGCAAUGGGCGAGAGCCUGACGGAGCAACGCCGCGUGAGUGAAGAAGGUCUUCGGAUCGUAAAACUCUGUUAUUAGGGAAGAACAAAUGUGUAAGUAACUAUGCACGUCUUGACGGUACCUAAUCAGGAAGCCACGGCUAACUACGUG
rnacentral:rRNA from 1 species